AUCAAACUGACCAGUCCCAAAUAGGACGAAACGCGCGUCAAGCUGGAU
rnacentral:hammerhead_ribozyme from 1 species